CAAUAGCGUAUAUUAAAGUUGUUGCGGUUAAAACGCUCGUAGUUGGAUUUCUGUUGAGGGCAGCCGGUCCGCACUUCGUGCGUGUAUCUGGUUUGACCUCGGCAUCCUCUCAAAAUACGUUUCUGCGCUUGAUUGCGUGGAGCGGAGUUUGAGACUUUUACUUUGAGGAAAUUAGAGUGUUCACGGCAGGCAAUCGCCUUGAAUAUAUUAGCAUGGAAUAAUAAUAUAGGAUCUUGGUUCUAUUUUGUUGGUUUCUAGAGCUAAGAUAAUGAUUAAUAGGGGCAAUUGGGGGCAUUCGUAUUAACGCGUCAGAGGUGGAAUUCUUGGAUUGCGUUACGACGAACUACUGCGAAAGCAUUUGCCAAGGAUGUUUUCAUUGA
rnacentral:rRNA from 1 species